rnacentral:rRNA from 1 species
GAUGAACGCUGGCGGCGUGCUUAACGCAUGCAAGUCGAACGAGAAAUGUAGACGGAAACCUUCGGGCGGAAGCCGUCAGUUCGAGGGGCGGACGGGAGAUUAACCCGUGGGUAAUCUGCCGCAUACAGGGGGAUAACAGUAGGAAACGACUGCUAAUACCGCAUAAGACCACAGCAUCGCAUGAUGCGGGGGUAAAAACUCCGGUGGUAUGAGAUGGACUCGCGUUCGAUCAGCCAGUUGGCGGGGUAACGGCCCCCCAAAGCGACGAUCGACAGCGGAGGUGAGAGAAUGACCGGCCACAUUGGGACUGAGACACGGCCGAGACUCCUACGGGAGGCGGCAGUGGGGAAUAUUGCACAAUGGGGGAAACCCUGAUGCAGCGACGCCGCGUGAGUGAAGAAGUACUUCGGUAUGAAAAGCCCUAUCAGCAGGGCAGAAAAUGACGGUACCUGAGUAAGAAGCCCCGGCUAACUACGUG